UAAUGUUCAUUCAUUAAAUUUCAAAUCCAACAUUCACAAUCAAGAUUCUAUAAAACUCCUCUAUAAUCAAUUUGAAAUUCAACAUUGUGAAUCCAUCUAUAUUCUUUAAAACAUUCAUACAAUUUACAACCAUUUCAAGAGACUAAUCACAUGAAAAAUCCUAAGCUAACAAAAUCCUUACAAACAUCAAAUCCAUCCAAUACAUAUGAGCUCAAAUGGAGAGGGCAAUAUAUUACAUGUACUGCACCAUGGUACCAAAAUACACAACACAUGAUGGACCUAUGGCCAAUCAAGACAGAAUGUUGCACUCUACAUUGACGUAGGACCAUUACAGUAGCCAGACAUUACACCAAGCAUCGUCAGCAUACAACAGCCAGACCUGCAGGACCUCAUAAACAGGAGCAUGGCAAGCUAAAUAAAAAAAGACUUUCGCAAGUCAUAUCAUCGUGUGAUGCAGCUAAGUCAUGCAGUCAUCCUAUAAUCCAUCCAAAUAAUACAAUGCAAUCCUCAUAAAAGCCAUUCAAUCCUGAAAAUUGAUCAACACAGCAAUCUCACGAUAAGAAGGAAAUAGGAAUGAAAGUGUCUUACAGAAGUCUUGACUUUGAAACUCCACCCAGCUGCUAGCCACACCAUAACGCCAUCUUGCGUUCCAAUGAUCAUAAUAGGGCAUAACGUAAUGUCAAGUGAUAUUCAGUAAAACACAUAUCAGAGCUUUCAUUCAAAAAUAUGUUCAACAAGUUCUAUUGAGAAAUAAACAAACAAAAUCAAAAUCCGAAGUUCAGCAGGGGCAUUUAGUUUGAGUUAUUAGCAAGGUCAGAGAUGUCUCACAAGGAUUUGUAGAGUUAUUCCAUUAGUAGCAGGCCAAGAACACAAACCCAAGUCAUUUGCGUCUCAAAUCCUCACAUAAGUUUAAAACCAGAAAGACACCAAGCUAGUUUUGGGUCGAGAAAAAUGUAAACCACAUACCGUUUGAAAUUCGAAUUUCAUGACAGUAAAAUUUCCUUAUACAAUUUCUUACCACAGCCAAACCCAGUUGUUACAGUAGCAAGAUUUCAAUGAAAAUCAGCGCAGUAGCCCUACUCUUCGCUAAAAGACAAACUAUACAUACCACUCAGCAAAUUGGUCCCCACAAAUAUGAGGAGAAAAUUAUCUCUAACGGUUUUUGAUCAUAUCCAAUAUCAGACAGCUCAUAGGUGGUACCUUCAAAAAGACCACUCACCUGCUCAUAUAAAAGGAUGGUUGUUCAUUAAAAAAGGAGAGAAAAAAAAAACUCUGCAGAAAUCUCAGAAAUAGAACCCUGCCGUCAUUCUCUGAAUCGCGUCUCUCAUACCUAACAGAGAGCACAUCAUUAUUUCAAGAAAGAAACCCUAUCCGAAGUCCACGUUGGAACUCUGCACAAGUCGUGCCUAUCCCGGUAGAAAACCUUCAUCAGGCGGAACAAGCGGGUAAACAGAAGAACAAAAAGAGGAAGGAGAGGACUCAGAAAAAGCGAAAAGUUUCAAACAACGAAGGAGGAAGAAAAGGUACUAACCCGAGGUCCGAUUCCACUUCUCAAGCUCAUCGGAAACGUUGUUUUCAGGUAAAGUUUAUUUUACUUCUUUCUUCACAUUUACAUAUGUUUUUCAUUGUACAAAUACCGCAUCGACCUCAUGAUAAUAUGAUAAACCUGAUUUGAUUGCAUAUGUGAUUGCUUGAUUGUAAGGUCUCGUUUGGUUGUUGGAGUUGUAGUAAGAGUUUCGCCUAUAGUAGAUCUUUGGUCAGUUUGUUUUAGUGAGAUGAUUGCGGGGUUUUCGCUGGUUCAGAAUAUGGAAGGAUUUGGAACAACGAGUUAGAUCUCGUCUUAUUGUUGUGCUUAAAGGUUCUAAGUAAGAGAAUGAAAUGAAGAGCAGAGGAACAAGGGAUAAAGGGUGACGGUUGGGGAAAGAGAAAGAAAGGGUUUUUUAGAUGAGGGCAGACGUUUUGAUUUUCGUUUAUAAUAAAAAUUAUUGAGUUGUUUUUUUCUGUUUUAAAGUUAAGUAUGAUCAUUAACAUGGAUUCUUUUCCCACUACCCCACGUUCGCUGUCUUUUCAUUUCCCCCCUGCAUUAAUGAUCAUUUUUCUCGGUUACCCUGUAAGACCCCAAUUUUGUCCCUAAGAUCCCUCAUGGCAUCAUAACAUUGCAUUGCAUAGCCUCAAGGAUCAUUGAGCAUCUUGGCUCCCUUUCCCUUUGGGUAGGGAUCUCUUGUAAGUGGUUUGAGAUCACCAAGCAUGCUUGAAUUGUAUAUCAUUGCUUUUCUUGUUUUAUUUACUAACUAAAAGCACAAAAAUAUGUCACUAACAUCUUUUGUUAGUAGCUUAAGCAAUCACCAAGUCAAGAGCUUCAAGAAGAUCCUUUGUGCAAGAGAUGAGGUAUUUUCUUGGGAUGAGGAUCACAUGAUUAUUAUAAGGAGCUUACAUGAGUUAGGGUUUCAUUUUGAAGCAAUUUCACCAAGUGGUAGAGGCUCAA
rnacentral:lncRNA from 1 species